rnacentral:rRNA from 1 species
AACGCGAAGAACCUUACCUACUCUUGACAUCCUGCGAACUUGGUAGAGAUACCUUGGUGCCUUCGGGAACGCAGAGACAGGUGCUGCAUGGCUGUCGUCAGCUCGUGUUGUGAAAUGUUGGGUUAAGUCCCGUAACGAGCGCGACCCUUGUCCUUAGUUGCCAUCAUUUAGUUGGGGACUCUAAGGAGACUGCCGGUGACAAACCGGAGGAAGGCGGGGACGACGUCAAGUCAUCAUGGCCCUUACGAGUAGGGCUACACACGUGCUACAAUGGCAAGUACAGAGGGCCGCGAAGCCGCGAGGUGGAGCUAAUCUCACAAAGCUUGUCGUAGUCCGGAUUGGAGUCUGCAACUCGACUCCAUGAAGUCGGAAUCGCUAGUAAUCGCAAAUCAGAAUGUUGCGGUGAAUACGUUCCCGGGUCUGUACACACCG